UACAGAGGGGGCAAGCGUUGUUCGGAAUUACUGGGCGUAAAGGGCGCGUAGGCGGCCUGCUAAGUCGAACGUGAAAUCCCUGGGCUCAACCCAGGAACUGCGUCUGAUACUGGAAGGCUUGAGUGCGGGAGAGGGAUGUGGAAUUCCAGGUGUAGCGGUGAAAUGCGUAGAUAUCUGGAGGAACACCGGUGGCGAAGGCGGCAUCCUGGACCGACACUGACGCUGAGGCGCGAAAGCUAGGGUAGCAAACGGG
rnacentral:rRNA from 1 species